UACGGGGGGGGUAAGCGUUGUUCGGAAUCACUGGGCGUAAAGGGUGCGUAGGCGGGUCUUUAAGUCAGGGGUGAAAUCCUGGAGCUCAACUCCAGAACUGCCUUUGAUACUGAGGAUCUUGAGCUCGGGAGAGGUGAGUGGAACUGCGAGUGUAGAGGUGAAAUUCGUAGAUAUUCGCAAGAGCACCAGUGGCGAAGGCGGCUCACUGGCCCGAUACUGACGCUGAGGCACGAAAGCGUGGGGAGCAAACAGG
rnacentral:rRNA from 1 species